GUGUCAGCCGCCGCGGUAAAACGUAGGAGACAAACGUUAUCCGGAGUUACUGGGCGUAAAGGGCGUGUAGGUGGUUUUGUAAGUCUGGCGUGAAAUAUCUCGGCUUAACCGAGGCAGGUCGUCGGAUACUGCAAGACUAGAGGACGGUAGAGGCGUGUGGAAUUCCGGGUGUAGUGGUGAAAUGCGUAGAGAUCCGGAGGAACACCAGUGGCGAAGGCGACACGCUGGGCCGUACCUGACACUGAUGCGCGACAGCAUGGGGAGCAAACAGGAUUAGAAACCCCUGUAGUCC
rnacentral:rRNA from 1 species